rnacentral:rRNA from 1 species
UAGUGGCAGACGGGUGAGUAAUGUAUAGGAAUCUACCUAGUAGUACGGAAUAAUUGUUGGAAACGGCAACUAAUACCGUAUACGCCCUACGGGGGAAAGAUUUAUUGCUAUUAGAUGAGCCUAUAUUAGAUUAGCUAGUUGGUAAGAUAAUGGCUUACCAAGGCAAUGAUCUAUAGCUGAUCUGAGAGGAUGAUCAGCCACACUGGAACUGAGAUACGGUCCAGACUCCUACGGGAGGCAGCAGUGGGGAAUAUUGGACAAUGGGCGAAAGCCUGAUCCAGCCAUGCCGCAUGAGUGAAGAAGGCCUUUGGGUUGUAAAGCUCUUUCGGUGAGGAAGAUAGUGACGGUACUCACAGAAGAAGUCCUGGCUAACUCCGUGCCAGCAGCCGCGGUAAUACGGAGAGGGCUAGCGUUAUUCGGAAUUAUUGGGCGUAAAGAGCGCGUAGGCUGGUUAGUAAGUUAAAAGUGAAAUCCCAAAGCUCAACUUUGGAAUUGCUUUUAAAACUGCUAAUCUAGAGAUUGAAAGAGGAUAGAGGAAUUCCUAGUGUAGAGGUGAAAUUCGUAAAUAUUAGGAGGAACACCAGUGGCGAAGGCGUCUAUCUGGUUCAAAUCUGACGCUGAGGCGCGAAGGCGUGGGGAGCAAACAGGAUUAGAUACCCUGGUAGUCCACGCUGUAAACGAUGAAUGUUAAAUAUGGGAAGUUUACUUUCUGUAUUACAGCUAACGCGUUAAACAUUCCGCCUGGGGACUACGGUCGCAAGAUUAAAACUCAAAGGAAUUGACGGGGACCCGCACAAGCGGUGGAGCAUGUGGUUUAAUUCGAUGCAACGCGAAAAACCUUACCAUUCCC